rnacentral:rRNA from 1 species
CCUACGGGAGGCAGCAGUGGGGAAUAUUGCGCAAUGGAGGAAACUCUGAUCCAGCAAUGCCGCGUGAAUGAAGAAGGUCUUCGGAUUGUAAAGUUCUUUAGUCAGGGAAGAAAAAAAUGACGGUACCUGAAGAAUAAGCUCCGGCUAACUACGUGCCAGCAACCGCCGUAAUACGUAGGGAGCAAGCGUGGUUCGGAAUGACUGGGGGGAAAGGGUGCGUAGGUGGGUAGACAAGUUAGAAGGGAAAUACCCAGGGCUUAACUCGGGUGCUGCUUCUAAAACUGUAAGACUUGAGUGCAGUAGAGGUUAGUGGAAUUCCUAGUGUAGCGGUGGAAUGCGUAGAUAUUAGGAGGAACACCAGAGGCGAAGGCGGCUAACUGGACUGCAACUGACGCUGAGGCACGAAAGUGUGGGGAGCAAACAGGAUUAGAUACCCUAGUAGUC